rnacentral:rRNA from 1 species
CUGAACCAGCCAAGUAGCGUGAAGGAUGACUGCCUAUGGGUUGUAAACUUCUUUUAUAAAGGAAUAAAGUCGGGUAUGGAUGACCCGUUUGCAUGUACUUUAUGAAUAAGGAUCGGCUAACUCCGUGCCAGCAGCCGCGGUAAUACGGAGGAUCCGAGCGUUAUCCGGAUUUAUUGGGUUUAAAGGGAGCGUAGAUGGAUGUUUAAGUCAGUUGUGAAAGUUUGCGG